rnacentral:rRNA from 1 species
AGACCCGAAACCCGGUGAUCUAGCCAUGGGCAGGUUGAAGGUUGGGUAACACUAACUGGAGGACCGAACCGACUAAUGUUGAAAAAUUAGCGGAUGACCUGUGGCUGGGGGUGAAAGGCCAAUCAAACCGGGAGAUAGCUGGUUCUCCCCGAAAGCUAUUUAGGUAGCGCCUCGUGAAUUCAUCUCCGGGGGUAGAGCACUGUUUCGGCUAGGGGGCCAUCCCGGCUUACCAACCCGAUGCAAACUGCGAAUACCGGAGAAUGUUAUCACGGGAGACACACGGCGGGUGCUAACGUCCGUCGUGAAGAGGGAAACAACCCAGACCGCCAGCUAAGGUCCCAAAGUCAUGGUUAAGUGGGAAACGAUGUGGGAAGGCCCAGACAGCCAGGAUGUUGGCUUAGAAGCAGCCAUCAUUUAAAGAAAGCGUAAUAGCUCACUGGUCGAGUCGGCCUGCGCGGAAGAUGUAACGGGGCUAAACCAUGCACCGAAGCUGCGGCAGCGAACGUAUCACUUAAAGCGAUUCAGCGGGUUACGAUUGACGGAGCGAAGCGACGUCAAAGCGUAUACAAAGUCGAGUCGGUUUAAGGAUACGUUCGUUGGGUAGGGGAGCGUUCUGUAAG